GACGAAGGUGGCGAGCGUUGUUCGGAAUCACUGGACAUAAAGCGCACGUAGGCGGUGUCGUAAGUCGGGUGUGAAAUCCCUCGGCCUAACCGAGGAACUGCGCCCGAUACUGCGAUGCUUGAGGACCAGAGGGGUGCAUGGAAUUUCCGGUGGAGCGGUGAAAUGCGUUGAUAUCGGAAGGAACUCCGGCGGCGAAAGCGAUGCACUGGCUGGUUUCUGACGCUGAGGUGCGAAAGCCAGGGGAGCAAACGGG
rnacentral:rRNA from 1 species